AGCUUGCUUGGUGGAUCAGUGGCGAACGGGUGAGUAACACGUGAGCAACCUGCCCUGGACUCUGGGAUAAGCGCUGGAAACGGUGUCUAAUACUGGAUAUGAGACGUGAUCGCAUGGUCGUGUUUGGAAAGAUUUUUCGGUCUGGGAUGGGCUCGCGGCCUAUCAGCUUGUUGGUGAGGUAAUGGCUCACCAAGGCGUCGACGGGUAGCCGGCCUGAGAGGGUGACCGGCCACACUGGGACUGAGACACGGCCCAGACUCCUACGGGAGGCAGCAGUGGGGAAUAUUGCACAAUGGGCGGAAGCCUGAUGCAGCAACGCCGCGUGAGGGAUGACGGCCUUCGGGUUGUAAACCUCUUUUAGCAGGGAAGAAGCGAUAGUGACGGUACCUGCAGAAAAAGCGCCGGCUAACUACGUGCCAGCAGCCGCGGUAAUACGUAGGGCGCAAGCGUUAUCCGGAAUUAUUGGGCGUAAAGAGCUCGUAGGCGGUUUGUCGCGUCUGCUGUGAAAUCCCGAGGCUCAACCUCGGGCCUGCAGUGGGUACGGGCAGACUAGAGUGCGGUAGGGGAGAUUGGAAUUCCUGGUGUAGCGGUGGAAUGCGCAGAUAUCAGGAGGAACACCGAUGGCGAAGGCAGAUCUCUGGGCCGUAACUGACGCUGAGGAGCGAAAGGGUGGGGAGCAAACAGGCUUAGAUACCCUGGUAGUCCACCCCGUAAACGUUGGGAACUAGUUGUGGGGACCAUUCCACGGUUUCCGUGACGCAGCUAACGCAUU
rnacentral:rRNA from 1 species